GCGCUCUCUUCGGAGGGAGCGGCGGACGGGUUAGUAACGCGUGGGAACGUACCCAGAUCUAAGGAAUAGCCUCGGGAAACUGAGAGUAAUACCUUAUACGCCCUUAGGGGGAAAGAUUUAUCGGAUUUGGAUCGGCCCGCGUUAGAUUAGAUAGUUGGUGGGGUAAUGGCCUACCAAGUCUACGAUCUAUAGCUGGUUUUAGAGGAUGAUCAGCAACACUGGGACUGAGACACGGCCCAGACUCCUACGGGAGGCAGCAGUGGGGAAUCUUGGACAAUGGGCGCAAGCCUGAUCCAGCCAUGCCGCGUGAGUGAUGAAGGCCUUAGGGUCGUAAAGCUCUUUCGCCUGUGAAGAUAAUGACGGUAGCAGGUAAAGAAACCCCGGCUAACUCCGUGCCAGCAGCCGCGGUAAUACGGAGGGGGUUAGCGUUGUUCGGAAUUACUGGGCGUAAAGCGCGCGUAGGCGGGCUAUUAAGUUAGGGGUGAAAUCCCAGGGCUCAACCCUGGAACUGCCUCUAAUACUGGUAGCCUAGAGUUCGAGAGAGGUGAGUGGAAUUCCGAGUGUAGAGGUGAAAUUCGUAGAUAUUCGGAGGAACACCAGUGGCGAAGGCGGCUCACUGGCUCGAUACUGA
rnacentral:rRNA from 1 species